UGUAACUAAGUGUAGUAUUGCACGUAAAUUUUUGAUAUUUGAAGGUAAGUUUAAUUCUUAAAGUUACAA
rnacentral:tRNA from 1 species